UCAGCCUAGAAUUAGAAACACUGGUGUAAAUCGCGUUACCUGUGCCAAUAUAAGUGUAUUGGUGUGUAUAUAUCUCACAAAUACUGCAGCUUCAUGAUCUAGAGUUGCCUUUUCCUGCCCUCGAUGGCUCACCCAACCUAUUUUGUAAAUGAAAUUCCCUUUUCAAGUAGCUGUUUUCUAAAUUAUUUCUUUGUGCUUCAACUGUGGAAAAGAACCCUUUUGUCAAGUGUUACCCACACCCAGGUGACAGGUGAGCACAGAUCAUAUGUCGUAAUACAAAUGAUAUAUAAAAUAUUUUUGUUGGGAAUGAUAUUAAUGUAAGAGAAGGAAGCAUGAUUCAGCUCCUGUGUAACUUCAGAUAACAUUUAAUUUUUCUAUCUUUCAGGCUAGGUGCCUGCAGUGUACCUUACAAAGCAUCAGAGCUUAGACAAGUAUAAGAGACAAAGAGAACCACCAGAAAAAAAGGGGCCAAGCUUAUGUAGAUAUAUACUGGGAAUUUUUUGGAUUCUGAGAGCACUGUCCUCACUGAUCACUGGAUUGAGCACCAGGAGAGAAAUGUAUUUUUCAACACCUGGAUGUAUUCUGUUGACUUCCCCAACUGGGAGAUACAUACCGCACCACAACACUUCCACCACCCAGUUACUGAGCAGAACAGGCAAUGACUGUAGUCAAAUAUUACUUACUUGCUGGAAAUACAAGAGGGAAAAUGGUAUUACAAACAACAACAGCGCAGAUAUUAUCUCUGACCUGCGCUUUGUUUUUUUCUACUACCAAUGGUAUUAGCUUAUCUACUGCUACAGUGUUAAUUAUUAAUGAGGGUAUUAGUGGUGACUGUGAGCAGCUGAAGCAGCUCCACCAAGACUUCGUCUGAAAAGAUAGACUGAGGAUUCCUGCAUUGCUCACUGCAUAUACAAGGCUGUAUGGGAGAAAGGAAAAAUGAGAAGCAAUAGAACAGACGAGGGAUAAGGCUGACAUCUCAAAACAAAAGAGCUCAGGGAUAACAAGGGUAUUUUUGACAAAAGACUUGUUUAGGACAUACUUCGGAGAAUCAACUAAAAAUCUUUCCUCCUUUUAUACGGUCAUUCCAGGUUUUCCAAGCACCUGCCAUGGUGUACGGUAUCACCUCUCCUUGCAAGUGCAGCAGCACAAAGCUUUUCUUUCAGUGCCACUGAACUGAGGUGGGGUGUGGGAACACUUAAUGUAGCCACUCAUCUACAGAGAAACUGCUAAAAUGCAGGAGAGCAAAGGAUGGGGCUGGCAAAGGUACGUCUAACAGCUUUGUCAUGAUACUUCAGAACACAGCAGGGGCAGAAGCAGAUAUAAAACUGCUUUACAUACAGCUAUUCCUGGGGAAGACAGAGCACCUCAAUGCAGCGUUUUUGUCUUUUACACUGCAAUGCCCACUCCAGCAGGCAAAGUGGUUAUCUGUGUGUACUUGCUCACCAAGGUGCCUCAGAUUUUUAGAAUCACACGAAUCCAUAUCAGAAGUACCUAGCUGCCAAGGGUCUGACUAAAUAGAAAUAUACUACUGUGGCCAAUGAUGUUUACAACUCUGAGGUUAGAUAAAGAAGUCAAAUAAAUACAGAAAAUCAAAUUGAGAGACCCCUGCAGGAAAAGAUUUUACAUUGUAAGAGGCACUACAGCCUUCACUAAGCAAGAUGCUAAUCAUGAGGGGUGGUGGAAUAUGGCCCUCCUGUAUUCCAUACCACACCACUUCAUUCUCUUUUAAUUUAGUUGGCUAUACUGAAAUUGCUGUGAAAAACAUAGAUCCACAUAAGGUAGCAGACAUUCUGCAAAGCAACUUCCCUUAAAAUCGCUCUUUUGAGGAAUAUAUGAUACCUUUUUCCAGUAAACGUUUGUUCUUUGGUACCUGCCUAAAAGAUUAUGGCUUACAUUUUGUAAAAUGAACCGCAACAGAGAAGGUGCAGUCAGUGUUAAUAAUACACUGCUGUGUAUGCCUCUGCCUGCAUCCAAGUAGAGACACAGCAACUAGAAUUAAGGUUGUCAGGAAAACAAAGGCACAAAUACCAAUGCUUUAAUUUUGUGUAAAUGCUUUCACAUGAGCAAACAACAGGGCUACUAAAACUAGCAUUGCAAAGCUGGAGUUUGGAGCCAUCUCCUUCAGCAUUACCUGGUCCAGGUCAUUCCGUAAGGCAAUUUUGCUUGUAACAAGCUCAUGGGCAAGGUCAUCGUUCUCCUGCUCCAGCCUCAUGCUAGCUUCUUGGAGCCUGCGAUUUUCCCUCUGCAGAAAGAAAGGAACAACCAAAAGAGGAAGUUAACUCUUACCAAUAUUAAAGAGCAGUAAGUGAAUAUGUUGUAUGUAUAAAACACUGAUAAGGCAAGAGUGCACAUUAAGACAGGACUGCUGCUCUGGGAAACAACAGUGAAUUAAGCCAGCAGUGCAAAUGCAGCAAUUCCACUUACAUCCCAAUGGUUAUGUUUGAGUCACAUAAGUGACACACUGAUGAUUGUAGGGUUUCUCUGUCAAAAGUAAACACAGUCCUCUCAAUAAAAACAUCUGCUUUCUUAUUUCUUUUGAUGAGGAGGAAUCAGACAGAUAAAAUCCCACCCAGCAGCAGUGACCAGGGAGAUAACUCGAAAUAACGUUUCCAUGCAGAAAGCUGUCCUCUGCUCCAUUUUACAAAACCUCAUCUGCAGGCAAUCCAUAAAAAUAGUCCAUUCUGGAGAUGCUGUGGUACCAACCAUUCGUCCUCUGUGGGACCAGUAAAGAACAGCAUUUAGAAGGGAACUCCUUACGACUCAUAUAACGUGUACAUCCACCUGUACGCUUUCUCUGUAACUUGCACCAGUGACAACAGGUACGUUUUACAGGACACCUGCUGAGAAAAAGUGCCAGAUGGAGAGGGGACAUCAGUCCCUGAGCACAGGUCCAGAACCUGUUCUGCCCACGAUGCACGACAACACAAAAUGUAGACCUUCAAGACUGCAGGCACCUCCUACCCACUCCACAAAGGCAGAAAUGACUACAUAGAGCACUAACUGGUGAAGGUAGUGCAUUGGGAAAAAAAAGAAAACCAGCAAUUCAUGUUUCUUAAAAAUCAAUUUAUGUGACUGUUAUUUAGGGCUGAGAAGCAUAAUUAUAUUCAGAAGGUAUCUGUAGGUUGGUGGACUUCCAGGAGUCCACAUCAAAUCCCCUGGCUUCAGAAGAAGGUGAGCCUGAUACAGGUGCCCUUCUCAAACAGAUUUUGAGAGAGCAAAAAAAAUUGCUGACUUUCAGUCACAUAGUGACUGCAAAAGAGACUGGAAAGGGAAUCUGUUUGCUAUGGAAAUUCAAGAAAAAUGCAAAGUUCACAUGGAAGUUUAUAGACGGAGAAACAGUAACCUACAUGCUAACAUCUCAAAAAGGCCACUUGAAAGGUUAUGCUCUCCAAAGAAAUACAGUAAAAGGGAAAAUAUUAACAGCACUUAGAACAGCAAAAAUAUUUCAAGAGUUGCUCAUUGAAUGUUUUCCUACAAAAUGUGAUUUCUUUGCAUAAGCAUAUUAUUCACCAGUCUUCACUUCCUCUUGCUUACCAGCUAUGCUCAAAUAAUUCUUUCCAAAGCUCACCACAGUGAAACAACUGUUUUUCAUCUGUUUCAAAAAGUUUUUUGCAUGCCUGUCUUAAAAAAGGGCAACUACAGUUCUAAGAGGAUGCUAAAAAAGGUCUCUUCUUUGUCUUAGCUUCCUCUGUGGCAGGAAGCAGAACCUCUGCAAAUACCUUCUUCUUACUGGGACAUUAUUGUGUAAGUGGAUUGUGCACUACCCUUUACAGGAAAGUAAGUUCAUUUCCUCCCCAAAAGACUGUACUUCAAAUAACUUUGUUUUGUUACAGAAAUCCUAAAAUACUUGUGAUUUCACACAAUUAAAAUAACCACUGCUAAAAGACA